rnacentral:lncRNA from 1 species
UGGCAGUUCUCAUGUCUUCAUGCUGGCAUUGAAGAUCAUUAGACAUGAAUGUUAGAAUGUAACACUUCACCUUAUUGUUCACAUCUACCCACUUUUCAAGUGUGGCUCAUUGAUCAGGGGAUGGACGAGCUGGUAAUACAGAUGCAUCCUAGUCAAGGACAUGGGUUAGUUUUUUGAAACUGAGAAUGAUUCUCAAAUUUUGUGUUG